rnacentral:misc_RNA from 1 species
UAGCUCGGAACCCUAAACCCUCAUUACAUCUUGCAAACAGAACUACUAUCAGUCCACCUUUCACCAUUGUAAGAGCUCCAAUGGCAGCCUUCAAACUACUCUACCAAGCUCGUCGUCACUGUUCAUACAGAAGCCCAUCUCACUUUUCUCCUACUUUCCGUUCUCAUUUGCACAGAUUUCUCUCUUCCUCAUCAUCAUCAGAAAACCCGAAUUCGAAUAACCCAAGUUCAAUUCAACCCGUUUCCUACACCCCUAAGAACCCGCCAGAGAGUAGUAGCCGACCCGAAUCAAAUAACCCAGAUGGGGUUAAAGCGGAUGGUGGGUUGUGGACCCGGGAGGAUCUGCGGUACUUGAAGGAUACCCCGAAAAUAGCUCCGAUUUCUUAUCCGACAAGGGUAGCGCCGUUACCGGAGGAUUUGCCGGAAGAGGAGAAAGGGAAAAUGGAAGGUAUGGGUGAUGAGAUGGAGAGAGAGAGGAGAAGAAUCGAG